UACGAAGGGGACUAGCGUUGUUCGGAAUUACUGGGCGUAAAGCGCGCGUAGGCGGAUCGCUAAGUCAGGGGUGAAAUCCCAGGGCUCAACCCUGGACAGGCGGUGGAAACUGCGAAGCUGGAGUACGGUAGGGGCAGAGGGAAUUUCCGGUGGAGCGGUGAAAUGCGUAGAGAUCGGAAAGAACACCAACGGCGAAAGCGCUCUGCUGGGCCGACACUGACACUGAGAGACGAAAGCUAGGGGAGCGAAUGGG
rnacentral:rRNA from 1 species